GAAGAGUCAGAAACAGUCAGAAUUUUUUUAGGCAGUCUAAUCUAAAAAUCUAGGCCUAAGAAAAAUUAUGAGUCUUUUAUUAAUUUAAUCAUUUUCGUGAAUAGAUAAUCUGUCAAUCCAGCCAGCUCCACCCGAAGUAUAGGAGCAGACAACGAAACUUGGCAGAACUUAGAAUAUGCCACCUGAUGGCUAUAUUAGGACCGUGUGCGCACCGGUGAAAAUCAGAGUCUCGUAAUAGAGGAAUAUUCAAUGAUUGGGCCUUGGUCGAGCAUAGCUUUCUGGGACUAUGGAAGUCUGAUUUGCCGGAGAAAGGUUCAUGGUCGAGCAUUUCUCUCUAGGUACCGGCUAUAUUGGUAUUUUAGUGACUAGACUGGACUUAAGGACCCUGGUCAAACUUUCCUCUCUGAGUACCAGUCUUAUUAGAUUAAGAGAGUCGAAAGGCUACUAGAAUUGGAGGUUUAGGAUUCUGCUGUAGUACUCGUCUCGUGUGUAUUAAAAUUAUAUGUUCUUUUAAAAUUACGAUGUGACACACAUUUAUUAUUUUGAGAUAUUUUAUACUAUUAAAUAAUUAUUUUAUAUUUUUGGUUGCUUAAAUUCAAAGUACAUGAUUUUAACUAACUCUCGAGACUGACACUCUUAAUUUUAAUUUUUUAGGUGACAACUAGAUUCUCCGUAGACUUUCUCUUGGCAGCCCGACUUCCUUCCCCAUUCGGGCUUAUUAUAAUUAAAUUCUAACUAUUGCACUUCGAAUUAUUUGGAAUUCUAAACUCUCCAUAGUAGUGGACUUGGAACUUUACAUUUUAUCUUAGUCUGUUAAAAUUAUAAGAGAAUUAUCUAGUAAUCUAGCUGAUGGAUUAAUUUGAUUAUAUGGUGAUUAUGUGAAUGAAUUAUUAUUGGUUUAUUUA